GGCCUGAGAGGGUGAUCGGACACACUGGAACUGAGACACGGUCCAGACUCCUACGGGAGGCAGCAGUAGGGAAUAUUGCUCAAUGGGGGAAACCCUGAAGCAGCAACGCCGCGUGGAGGAUGAAGGUUUUAGGAUUGUAAACUCCUUUUGUAAGAGAAGAUUAUGACGGUAUCUUACGAAUAAGCACCGGCUAACUCCGUGCCAGCAGCCGCGGUAAUACGGAGGGUGCAAGCGUUACUCGGAAUCACUGGGCGUAAAGAGCGCGUAGGCGGGAGAGUAAGUCAGAUGUGAAAUCCUGUAGCUUAACUACAGAACUGCAUUUGAAACUACUUUUCUGGAGUAUGGGAGAGGUAGGUGGAAUUCUUGGUGUAGGGGUAAAAUCCGUAGAGAUCAAGAGGAAUACUCAUUGCGAAGGCGACCUGCCGGAACAUUACUGACGCUGAUGCGCGAAAGCGUGGGGAGCAAACAGGAUUAGAUACCCUGGUAGUCCACGCCCUAAACGAUGAAUGCUAGUUGUUGCCCUGCUUGUCGGGGCAGUAAUGCAGCUAACGCAUUAAGCAUUCCGCCUGGGGAGUACGGUCGCAAGAUUAAAACUCAAAGGAAUAGACGGGGACCCGCACAAGCGGUGGAGCAUGUGGUUUAAUUCGAGGAUACGCGAAGAACCUUACCUAGGCUUGACAUUGAUAGAAUCCGCUAGAGAUAGUGGAGUGCUGGCUUGCCAGAGCUUGAAAACAGGUGCUGCACGGCCGUCGUCAGCUCGUGUCGUGAGAUGUUGGGUUAAGUCCCGCAACGAGCGCAACCCUCGUCCUUAGUUGCUAGCAGUUCGGCUGAGCACUCUAAGGAGACUGCCUUCGUAAGGAGGAGGAAGGUGAGGACGACGUCAAGUCAUCAUGGCCCUUACGCCUAGGGCUACACACGUGCUACAAUGGGACAUACAAAAAGAUGCAAUACCGCGAGGUGGAGCAAAUCUCUAAAAUGUCUCUCAGUUCGGAUUGUAGUCUGCAACUCGACUACAUAAAGCUGGAAUCGCUAGUAAUCGCAAAUCAGCAAUGUUGCGGUGAAUACGUUCCCGGGUCUUGUACUCACCGCCCGUCACACCAUGGGAGUUGUAUUCGCCUUAAGUCGGGAUACUAAAUUGGUUACCGCCCACGGCGGAUG
rnacentral:rRNA from 1 species